AUUAAUCACUUACCUUUUUGAUUUCUGUACUCCGUAUAGUCGUUGAUCUGAAAGAUUUAUCAUCAUGCGUUUUUUGCUGACCGUUCUUCUCUUGGUUGCUGUAGUUAUGAUUGUUGCUGAAGCCAGACAUGGCAGUCGUCGUAGACGUCGUGCUAGACAUAACAGACCAUCGUUGAGAAACGUCAGCUGUGAAAGGGUAAAGAAUGCAGGUGUUUGUGAGAGAUGCUGUGACCCGUGUAAAAAUGUAGAGUGUUGUGAACCUUUAACUUGUUCUGGAGGUGAAUGUAAAUGCAACGGUCAGGUCUGUGGGGACAAUGAAACGUGCAUGAUAGCUGAUCCUGCUGUUGGUGCAAUUUGUGUCGAAAAUAUUCUAGGUGGUGGGGGUGGGAAAAGAUAAGCAAACCAAAAAUUCCAGACCCUUUAAAAAGCAAAAACAGAUGUGAUUUUCAACUUACUUCAAGUCGACAAACCUAUAGUAUACACUACAGUCUAGAAGACCAACACCAUUUCCGCUGAUAUUAUAAUAUUGUAAAAGAAGAAAAUAAAUGCUCCGAAACUAUGUCUUGGUGCAUCAGGUUUAACAAGGACAAGUUUCAAACGUUCACCUGAGUCAUGUCGCUUAAAUUUCUUGACUCAUGUUGAUCCACAAUCGGCAAUUCGCAAAUAUUCCAGGCAUCAUAGAAUUCUUGCUUUACAAUAUCAUUUUAAAUAUAUUAUAAUAAAUGAAAUUCACAUCGGUU